CGGGUGGCAGCAGUGGGGAAUAUUGGACAAUGGGCGAAAGCCUGAUCCAGCAAUGUCGCGUGAAUGAUGAAGGCCUUAGGGUUGUAAAGUUCUUUCGGUGGGGAAGAUAAUGACGGUACCCACAUAAGAAGCUCCGGCUAACUCCGUGCCAGCAGCCGCGGUAAUACGGAGGGAGCUAGCGUUGUUCGGAAUUACUGGGCGUAAAGAGCGCGUAGGCGGCUAACUAAGUUGGGAGUGAAAUCCCAGGGCUUAACCCUGGAAUUGCUUUCAAAACUGGCUAGCUAGAGAACGAUAGAGGAUGGUGGAAUUCCUAGUGUAGAGGUGAAAUUCUUAGAUAUUAGGAGGAACAUCGGAGGCGAAGGCGACCAUCUGGGUCGUAUCUGACGCUGAGGUGCGAAAGCGUGGGGAGCAAACAGGAUUAGAUACCCGAGU
rnacentral:rRNA from 1 species